rnacentral:rRNA from 1 species
GUGGGGAAUAUUGGACAAUGGGCGAAAGCCUGAUCCAGCCAUGCCGCGUGUGUGAAGAAGGUCUUCGGAUUGUAAAGCACUUUAAGUUGGGAGGAAGGGCAGUAAGUUAAUACCUUGCUGUUUUGACGUUACCGACAGAAUAAGCACCGGCUAACUUCGUGCCAGCAGCCGCGGUAAUACGAAGGGUGCAAGCGUUAAUCGGAAUUACUGGGCGUAAAGCGCGCGUAGGUGGUGUUGUAAGUUGGAGGUGAAAUCCCCGGGCUCAACCUGGGAACUGCCUCCAAAACUGCAUGACUAGAGUACGGUAGAGGGUAGUGGAAUUUCCUGUGUAGCGGUGAAAUGCGUAGAUAUAGGAAGGAACACCAGUGGCGAAGGCGACUACCUGGACUGAUACUGACACUGAGGUGCGAAAGCGUGGGGAGCAAACAGGAUUAGAAACCCUGGUAGUCC